rnacentral:rRNA from 1 species
UGGUGGAGUGAUUUGUCUGGUUAAUUCCGUUAACGAACGAGACCUCUACCUGCUAAAUAGUCCGCUUCAAGUUUCGGCUUGGAGACGUUUGACUUCUUAGAGGGACUAUCGGUGUGUAGCCGAUGGAAGUUGGAGGCAAUAACA